UACGUAGGACACGAGCGUUAUCCGGAUUUACUGGGCGUAAAGCGCCUGUAGGCGGUCUUGUAAGUCGGAUGUGAAAGCCCCAGGCUUAACCUGGGGAAGCCAUUCGAUACUGCGGGACUUGAGGAUGGCAGAGGGGAGUGGAAUUCCCGGUGUAGCGGUAAAAUGCGCAGAUAUCGGGAGGAACACCAGUGGCGAAGGCGGCUCCCUAGGUCAUCCCUGACGCUGAGAGGCGAAAGCUAGGGGAGCGAACAGG
rnacentral:rRNA from 1 species